rnacentral:rRNA from 1 species
UACGUAGGGUGCAAGCGUUGUCCGGAAUUAUUGGGCGUAAAGAGCUCGUAGGCGGUUUGUUGCGUCGGCUGUGAAAUCCCGAGGCUCAACCUCGGGUCUGCAGUCGAUACGAGCAAACUAGAGUGUUGCAGGGGAGACUGGAAUUCCUGGUGUAGCGGUGAAAUGCGCAGAUAUCAGGAGGAACACCGGUGGCGAAGGCGGUUCUCUGGCGAUGACCUGACGC